GGCACCAACAGCAGUAAACACAUAUUAGACUGGAAAAUUCUUCUCUUUUUAGCUCGUGGCACAAAAUCCUGAUGGACUCCACGAAAGAAUCCGAAAGUCAUCUGAGUUGGCUAUCUGCACGUUCUCUCUGUACCAGUGAACUUGAACUGUGGCUGUGGCCUGGAUUCCGCAUUCAAACAUGACCAACUGACCUCUGGUUGUAGGGAUGUCUUGAAGAUGCUGAAGAACAAACACAGAGUUCAGAGGAUGGAAGAAACUGUUAUACCAUCUACAAUGAUUUGAAAUGCCAUUUGCAACUGCAGUUGACCGUGGGUUAUUGAAACCACAGAAAGUGAAACUGGAUAACGAAAAAAUUUGGAAAAUAUGGAAGAAAAAAAAUCAACCACAGACCGAGCACACAAAAACAAAUUCCUUGGGUUUCCUGUUUUUUGACUGAAUCUGUGAGAUAGAAGGCGAGAUCAGGAUCCUUCAUAGGUAGGUAUUGACUCUCAGUCUUCGGAGCUGAGCUCUAAAAGGUGAGUCAGAAUCUUCCCAUAAUCCCUGGUAGAGAUCAGCUGUUAACUGUUCUCCUUUUGUUACCCUUCUCUUUUUUUCCGCACAACACUCUUCCUUUCCUUCUGGCUAUAUCAGUAGGUUUUCUCUUUGUCUUUCUCUACUGUUUGUCAUUUCCAGGCUUAAAGUCAGCAGCAGAUUCUACCUGGCCUCCCCAGGGCAGAGUCAAGGCCCCCAGUAGCAAUGAAGAGAAUGAAAGGACAAAUAUGGAAACUUCUCCUUUUUCUAGUCUCCCACUCACCGAGAUUGGCACUGGCUUCUCAGAAGUACACUGACCAAAAAGAGGAGUGUUGGGCAGUCCAGGAACUUUUCUUUUCUUUUUUUUUUGAGACGGAGUUUUGCUCUUGUCGCCUAGGCUGGAGUGCAAUGGCAUGAUCUUGGCUCACUGCAACCUCCGCCUCCUGGGUUCAAGUGAUUCUCCUGCCUCAGCCUCCUGAGUAGCUGAGAUUACAGGUGCACGCCGGCAUGCCCAGCUAAUUUUGUAUUUUUUAGUAGAGAUGGGGUUUCGCUAUGUUGGCCAUGCUGGUCUCGAACUCCUGACCUCAGGUGAUCCACCCACCUCAGCCUCCCAAAGUGCUGGGAUUACAGGCGUGAGCCAUCGUGCCUGGCCCAGUGCAGGACCUUUAACAGCUGCAGAUGUUUGGAGCCAGGAAAUAUUGAGCUCCAGUCUAUCUUUGAGUCCUCUCCUGCAUUUUGCUUAGUUCUUAAAUAAUAGACAUUAGUUAAGUCUUUAUUGAUGAAUGUGUGUGUGAGUGAAUGAAUGUGUUUGGUCCUGAGACUGGAAGUAAGAAGCCACUAUACUGGUUUCCUAUAAGUUAAAAUCAUCAGGAUUGUAUUCUCUUUCCUGCUCCCAAGGAAUUAAGAACGUUUGAUUUUCCUCAUCUGUAGGAUCAAUAUGAUAUGAGAAAACCCAGUUAACCAGCAGCCUUCGUUUCAAAGAUACUCACAACCUCCACGUUGUCUGUUUGGUUUUCUGCUCCUGUUGUCCCCAAAGAAAGAGCCCCUCAAGGCUGUGUUUGAGGCGGGUCGCUGCUCUCUGGCAAGAAGGAGCAUAAACUGGAAUGACAGCUGUGUGCAAAUAGGCUAGUGUAUAAAUUGGAAAGGAUGGGGAAGAGUCUUCCUAUUCUACUCUAGUUGAUGCAGUUCCAGCUUUCAAUUUAUCACACUUGAGAAGUGCUCAUCUUCCCAACAGGACAGAAAAUAUGUGACCCCGAAUUAACCACUAAUAAUUGUACAUCAAAUCUAAAUGGGAAUGAGGAGAUAAAAGGCAGGGUAAAGCCAAAGUCUCAUGGUAAGGAAAGCAUUUUUAGCUGGAAUGUAAAGAAUGUUGGUAUUGGCAUUUAAUGGAAAUUCAAGCUGCCCUUCCCUUCAAUCCAGAUAGCUCACAGUUGUUUGGGUCACAAUUACAAUUUUACUGAUUUUGGAAAUCUAAUAUUAAUCUUAGCAUUGGCUUUAGUGGAGAAUCUGUCCAAUGUUGUAGAUCUUUAUGGAGAGGUAUUUUAAAUUGUGAAAUUUUUUUCUUAGACAUGUAAGACUUUUAUAUACACUGUUGGUGGAUGUGCUUUUGAUUGUGCUGAAUCGAUCUAUACAUUUAAAAUACAAUAAAAAGAAUUUAGGUCCAGCAUAGAAGCCGAAGAAUAUCUCUUAUCCAAAAUGCUUGGGACCAGAAGUGUUUCAGGUUUGAGAUUUGUUUUUUCUUCAGAUUUUGGAAUAUUUGCUGAUACUUAAAUGGUCCUUUGAGCAUCAUGUCAGUGCUGAAAAAAUUUUGGAUUUUGGAGCAUUGAAGAUUUUGGAUUUUUGGAUUAGGCAUGCUCAGCCAGUAUAGAGAAACUUCAUCUUACCAUGCAUAAGCUGAAAAAUUUUUUUGACAAGAAUACACUUCCACUCUCUAUUAUAAAUUAUAGAAUUAAAUAGCAGGCUUUGAUUGAGGGUCUCUUGUACUGCCCGGUACUGAGCAGCUGGAG
ensembl:lncRNA PKD2L2-DT PKD2L2 divergent transcript